rnacentral:rRNA from 1 species
GACGAACGCUGGCGGCGUGCUUAACACAUGCAAGUCGAACGGUGAAGCGCCUUCCUUUUUGGUGGGUGUGGAUGAGUGGCGAACGGGUGAGUAACACGUGAGUAACCUGCCCCCUUCUUCUGGAAACCGCAUGAAAGUGUGGCUAAUACGGGAUAUUCUGGGUCUGUCGCAUGAUGGGUCUGGGAAAGAUAUUGUUUCGGUGGGGGAUGGGCUCGCGGCCUAUCAGCUUGUUGGUGGGGUGAUGGCCUACCAAGGCGGUGACGGGUAGCCGGCCUGAGAGGGUGGACGGUCACACUGGGACUGAGACACGGCUCAGACUCCUACGGGAGGCAGCAGUGGGGAAUAUUGCACAAUGGGCGCAAGCCUGAUGCAGCGACGCCGCGUGAGGGAUGGAGGCCUUCGGGUUGUGAACCUCUUUCGCCAGUGAAGCAGGCCUGCCUCGUUUGUGGUGGGUUGACGGUAGCUGGAUAAGAAGCGCCGGCUAACUACGU